GACGAACGCUGGCGGCGUGCUUAACACAUGCAAGUCGAACGGAAAGGCCCUGCUUUUGUGGGGUGCUCGAGUGGCGAACGGGUGAGUAACACGUGAGUAACCUGCCCUUGACUUUGGGAUAACUUCAGGAAACUGGGGCUAAUACCGGAUAGGAGCUCCUGCUGCAUGGUGGGGGUUGGAAAGUUUCGGCGGUUGGGGAUGGACUCGCGGCUUAUCAGCUUGUUGGUGGGGUAGUGGCUUACCAAGGCUUUGACGGGUAGCCGGCCUGAGAGGGUGACCGGCCACAUUGGGACUGAGAUACGGCCCAGACUCAUACGGGAGGCAGCAGUGGGGAAUAUUGCACAAUGGGCGGAAGCAUGAUGCAGCAACGCCGCGUGCGGGAUGACGGCCUUCGGGUUGUAAACCGCUUUCGCCUGUGACGAAGCGUGAGUGACGGUAAUGGGUAAAGAAGCAGCGGCUAACUACGU
rnacentral:rRNA from 1 species